rnacentral:lncRNA from 1 species
GAACAUCAAACAACAAAACAAAACAAAACCAACCCAGCUGUAGAGUAAUAAUCACAUCUAGAAACUACCAAAACCAAAUAGAAAAAGAAAACCACCUUAAGCUAGAGGAAAAGCCCCUAAACGCAGAGCCAAAUAUCAGCCACCAAACGUUUCACUUCUCCAAAAGAAAAUCCCAAGCUUAGAAAGAGAAGAAAACGAAGCUUUGAAUCCAUACCUGGAGAAGCGGUGAACUUGCACCAAAUUCAAAGCAAAAUCAAAAGGAACCAUGGUGCCUCUGACGAUCCAUCAUCGCCAUUUCCUCCACAGAACCUGGUACUCCAUCUGCCCAGACACCAAAAACCUGUCUUCGCCUUCCUUCCAUCGCCAACGUGUGAGCCGUCCUAUUUCCAAAUCGGGGCACAAAAGUGUAAGUUACAUGAUCAAAAUUUGCUUCCAGAAAAUUAAUUUGAGAUGUUAUUGGCCGAAGAAUUGAUUUGUCUUUCUCCUUUUUCUGAAUGCUCUUAAUGACUGUUAAAGAGUCUCCUUCAAUGAUCAAACGCCGAAAACCCCUCAUAUCCGCAAACAAUAGUGCCCUCAUGCAUGCUCUUGCUUGAGCCAAACAAGCAUCACCCACAUCCGUCAACAGGUAAGUUUCUGCCCCAACGAUUUCUCCUUCCGAGUCUCUAGAUAUAACUGCUGUUACAGCGAGACGAGAUGCAUGUUGAAAGGCCGCGUCGAAAUUUAGUUUGAUGACUCCAAAAUCUGGGGGUCUCCAAUUCUCUUUAACUGUAGAUCUAAGAGAAGAACGAAUAUUCUCUUGAAAAAGGCUAAUAUCUUGACCAUAACCCCGGAUGAAACCCAACAAUUCCUAGAAUAAUAGUUUAAUCCCUUCAUGAACUAGUUUAUUCCUUCGAAACCAAAGACUCCAUAUAGAAAUUGCCAUGAAUUGCUUCUGUUGAUCAUUCGCAGUAGAAAAAGUAUUAAUAAAACGUUGCUUGUAACACAAUAGCUCUCCAAAGUCUUGCAGUUUGACUUGAAAAGAAGCCCAAACUGAUUGUAGAAUAUCACAAGACCACAUCAAAUGCCCAGAAUCCUCCUGAUCUACCUUACACAACGAACAGACAACAUCAACUCUUAAAGAUCUCCGCGCUAGAUUACAGAAAUGAGGCAACAGAUUGUUAAUAAGCCUCCAUAUGUGAAUUUUAAUUUUCGCAGGAAUGUUCAAACUCCAUAAAGAUUUGUAAAAAUCCCUAUAACCAUCAGUAUUAGGGGAUGUAGAUGAAUGAUUCUGUAACACCUCUGUAGAUAAGACUGGAUACGCACUUUUUACAGUGUAUUCCCCAGAACCUUCAUAUUUCCACACCAACAUGUCAUUUGUAUUUGCUCCAGAAAUGGGAAUGGAUAGAAUACGCUUUGUCGUACCUUCAUCAACUAUUUUAUGUAUUAACUCCUUAUCCCAGGUAUUGGUCUCAGCCUCAAUUAACUGAUUCAUAUUCAUCCAAUUAGGCAUAAUCUUCUGAAUUGAUAUUCUAUUGUUCUCAUAUCCAGGCAACCAAGAGUUGUUCCAUAUGUUAAUUCGAGCACCACUACCAACACGCCACACCAACUCUUCCGCAAUCAACUCUCUGGCACUGCAAAUACUUCUCCAGGUAAAUGAAGGGUAAGACCCAAUUUUUGCUGACAAUAAGUCUGAAGAUGGAAAAUAGCGAGCUUUUAAAACUUUGGCUAAAAGACAAUUAGGCUGAGAAAAAAUGCACCAAACCUGCUUAUCUAAGAACGCCUUAUUAAACAAAAACAGAUUUUUAAAACCCAUCCCACCAACACAUUUCGGUCUACAUAAAAAAUCCCAAGGACUCCAAUGAAUACCCUUCGCGAAUUUAUUAUUUGUCCACCAAAACUUGUUCAUUAUGACUUCCAGCUUCCGACAUAAUGAUUUCGGCAUAAGAAAGCAUUGCAUUACAUAAAGCGGAAUGGCUUGUAAUACUGAUUUGAUGAAAACCCCAUUCCCCCCAAUUGAGAGAUAGCGCAAACUCCACCUUUCCACACGUUUUCUGAACCUGUCAACAAAAUUGGAGAAAGCCCACUUUUUAUUCCGACUAACUAUCAUAGGUAAGCCUAAGUACUUUUCUGGGCUUGCAGCCAACCUAACCCCUAAAAGAUUGAUAAUGUUUCCCCUGAUAGUUGAAUCCACAUUAGCCCUAAAAUAAAUGAGGGACUUAUCAAAAUUCACACGCUGCCCUGAAAUCAUUUCAUACUCAUGAAUAACAUCUCGAACCGUACAAGCUCUUUCGCAAGAAGCGUCUCCAAAGAGUAUACAAUCAUCUGCAAAAAACAGGUGAUUGAUUGACAAUCUUUCCCUCCCAAUCGACGCACCACUCAUCAGUCCUUUGUGCUUUGAUUCCCUAAUGAGAGUAGAAAAACCCUCAGCACAAAUGAGAAAAAGAUAAGGGCUAAGCGAAUCACCCUGUUUUAGGCCUUUGGAAGGGAAAAACCACUCACCAUUAGACCCAUUAAGGCUCAUCGAAUAUGAGACAGAACAUACACAUCUCAUUAUCAAAAUAAUCCAAUCAGCAUGAAAACCCAGGUGAGUCAUCAUUCCUGCCAAAAAAUUUCAUUCUACACGAUCAUACGCUUUACUUAUAUCGAGUUUAAGCGCAAAAUUUCUUUUUUUUUCCAUAUUUCUUUAUUUUGAGAGAAUGAAGGAGCUCAUAAGCAAUUAACACAUUAUCCGAUAUAAGCCUUCUUGGGAUAAAAGCCCCUUGAGCUUCAUCAAUGCAAUCUCCCAAAACACUACUCAUACGAUUCACCAAGACCUUCACGAUAAUUUUGUAAAUUACAUUACAAAGGCUUAUGGGUCUAAAUUGUGACAAAUUUUUUGGUUUUUCGACCUUGGGGAUAAGCAAAAUACGGGUCUUAUUAAUAUUAGCUAUUUCAGCUUCUCUAUUCAGAAUAAAUAAACAAUAAGAGGAAAUAUCAGACCCAAUUAAAUUCCAGUACAUUUGAAAAAAUAUUGUGGGAAACCCAUACACACUAGGUGCUUUCAAGGGUGCCAUCAUCUUGACUGCCGCACCAAUAUACUCUUUAGUAAACUGUUUGAGAAGUGUAUCAUUCAUGCUCUUAGUAACUCUUUUCUCCACUAGUCCAAAUACAUGCUCGUCUAAGCCCACCUCAGAAGCUGAAAAAAGAUUCUUAAAAUAAUCAGAAGCAAGAUUUAACAACUCUUCAGUCAACGAAGUCCUUCUACCAUUCCCAUCUUCCAACUCUAAAAUACGACCAUGGAACUGGCGUUGAAUAGCUAUUUUAUGAAAAUAGCUAGUAUUACGAUCUCCAUUCUGUAGCCAAUUAACACGAGCUCUUUGCUCCCAAAACAGUUCUUCCUUAUCAACCUCCACAUUAAGCCCCAAUUGGACCUCUGUAAUUUCUGCUAGAUUCUCGUCUGAGGGUUCUUGAUUAAAAAGGAACUCCAAUUUGUCUUCCAAUUCCACACGAUUUCUUCUAUCCUCUCUAAAUCUGGAUGUACUCCAACGUUGAAGCUGAUGACCAAGUCUCUUCAGCUUUUUCGGAAUGCUGCCUGAAGUAUCAUUCCACAAUCUUUUAACCAGUCCUUCGAAAGAACUAUCCAAGCACCACUUGGCCUCAAACCGAAACAUUUUAUCUGAGAUACAUAGACCAUUCCCACUCUUUUUCAUUGUAUCCAACAGAAUAGGGCAAUGAUUAGAGAAGGAAUGACUCAAGUGUUCUACUUGAAAACUGGGGAAAUUAUUAAUCCAACUCAGUGUAGCAACCCCAUGAUCCAAACGCUCCCGUAUGUUUAUGUUAGAGAAAUUCCCUCUCUCCCAUGUAUACCACCGACAAACAUAGCCCAAAUCAUUAAGACUGUAGUCUUCCAGCGCCAUUCGGAAAGCAUUCAUCUGACGUUCUGAUCUAAGACGACCACCUUUCUUCUCAAAAGAAUUUGUAAUCUCAUUGAAGUCCCCUAAAACAACCCAUGGAGUGUCUUGGUCAUGGCUUAAUUGUCUAAACAAGUCCCAAGAUGUACCUCUAUACCUUCCAUUCGGAUUCCCAAAAAAACCCAGUUAAUCGCCAAGUGUCGCCACAUUCAUUAUUAUGAAUCUCAACAUCUAUAUGAAAAGAAGAAAAACUUUUAAGACUAACCAAAGCGUUUCCUUUCCAUCCCAAUGAAAUUCCUCCUCGAGACCCCACUGCCCCAAUAUCAAUCCCAUUCUCAAAAUCGCAAUUCAUCCUAACCAUCUCCAUCCUUUUAGAGUUUAAUUUUGUUUCCAUAAGAAACAAAAUCCGGGGAUUAACGGCUCUCAACUUAUUCUUGAGCCUUUUAACAGUUCGGGACCUCCCCAAGUCACGGACAUUCCAGCUUAGGAUUUUCAUUGUGAUCGGCUGCUCUGUUCACCAGAGCUAGCUGUUAAAUCAAGAGAACCACUUUCCAUAGUAUUGCCCAAAAGAGCAAACGAACCUGCCACAAUCCUCUGUCGUUUCUUUCCUUCCGUAGCUGCUAUUGGGUCAUUUUCUUCCUCCACAAUUAUUUCUAUAAGCCCAUUUACCAGCCCAUCAAUAGCAGAAGUACUUUUUCCCAAAUUGCGCCUAUUUUUAUUUCCAUUAGUGAGAUACUGUUGAUUGGAUCCUAAUGGGAUUAGAUUGGGAUUUGACAUAUGUUUCCCAAAAUCUCUCCCUAUAUCCCGUCCAGAAUCAAUCUCCCAAUUAAAAUUAUUGCUUUGAUUGGGACUUCCCAUAUUCUCAACAUGACAUUGCGAUCCAUCAUCUUCGCGCAACCACCUGCUCACCACCGAUGUCUGCCGCCGUGGCACCGCACGUAAAGAUAAAUCCCAUCCAUACACAAUUUUUGAUGGCUUAAUUUUCAACCGGAAUGGACAGUAGCUCUCACCAUGCCCCAACUUGCCACAAAUAAAGCAAAACAAACUUAACUUUUCAUAUUUAAAACGAGCAUAAAUAGUAAUAUUUCCCCCACUUGAAUCUUCUUUUUGCAUUUCAACGGGGCUGCAACAUCCAAACUAACACGAAUACGCAUAUAAGUCUUAGGACCUAAAACUAGAAUGGAAGUAUCAUAGUCAAGAAACUUCCCCAAAAAAUCCCCAAAUUGUCGAGCCAAAGAUUCAGACAUUAGCCCUACAGGCAAUUCGUGAAUUUGAACCCAGAACUUAAAAGAGUUUAACACAAAACUAACGGGUUUUCUCUUUUUUAGAUUUGAUGCAGAAUUAGCAAAUGACUGUUGAAGAACCACGGUGUACCAAAGAUUACCCUUUGGACGUCAACCUCGUUAAAAAAUUGGAAGAGAUAACGUUUAUUACCAAGGUCUGUAAUGCAAAUCCCUCUAAUGGGGUGCCAGAGAUCUGCCAUGGUAUUACGCAGGGAAGGAAAGUGAACAACAUUGUCUGUUAAACAUCAUCCCACCAAACAGAACUGAAAGCUUUGAUUGAUCACUCCUUCUUCCUCCUAAAACGCCACUUCUUCUUCAUCCAAUAAACUCAAACUAGCUAACUCCUCUUCCAUAGUCUACUUCACAACACCCCGAACCAAACCAAAAACACCAAAAGAAGACUUAAAUACAAACAUCCAAUAAAUAUCUAUUAAUACUUAAAUACAAGCAUUACAAGUGUAUGUAUUUUUAUUAAUACACUUGUACCCAAUCAUUACCACACAUUUGUCUUACUUUUAUUUAUUUAUCAUAUAAUAUUAAUUUAAUAAUAAUAAAUACAUUAAUAUUUACUUAAAUAAUAAGUAAAUACAUACAUGUAUUACAAAUGUGUGUAUUAUAUUUAUUACACUUGUAUUUAUUUUUGCCAUACACUUGGCACUCUUUUUGGCUUAUUUACUUAUUUAGCCCUUUUAAUUUUCUUUAUUCUAUAAUUAAACUUUCACACUUCAUUCAAUUUAAUCCUUUUAUUCAAUUAUCCUUAAUUUAAGCUAAUUCACUUAAUUAAACUCUAAUUAACCACUCGAUUAACUUCGUAAAUAUUUUUAAUAAAUAUUUACGAAUCUAUUUUUCAGAAACGGAAACCCGAAAAUACAUUUUUCGGUAAUGGUAAAAUUCAGGUCAUUACACAUGUUGCUACAAUUGUUCCACCAAAUGAACAAAUUCUUUACAUCGGAAGAAAAAGUGUCCCAACUUAGAACGUUAUGGUUGUAUGUGAUUUUAAUAUGUGCUUCACAUUUGUAG